AGAAUCCAAACGAUUACAUAGUUCAGCGUGUUCGUCUGAAAGCGUCAGAAAGCAGAGGUAUUACCAAGAAGUUGAUCCGACUAGGAGCAAAGCCUGCAAGCGGGAAAUGGACGAUUGUAGCCAAGUAUGGCAUUAAGGAAACUAUAUCGACUGAAUAUCAUUUUGACGUAG